rnacentral:rRNA from 1 species
UAUGUGAUCGUCUCUCGCAUAUCAAUAAGCGGAGGAAAAGAAACUAACAAGGAUUCCCCUAGUAACGGCGAGUGAAGCGGGAAGAGCUCAAAUUUGAAAUCUUAAAGGGUUUCCCUUUACGAAUUGUAGUUUAAAGAAGUGUUUUCUGUUGAGGUUUUGGUAAAAGUUCUUUGGAAUAGGACAUCAUAGAGGGUGAGAAUCCCGUAUUUGACCUUUACUUUCAACUUUGUGAUACGCUUUCAAAGAGUCGGAUUGUUUGGGAAUGCAGUCCAAAAUGGGUGGUAAAUUUCAUCUAAAGCUAAAUAUUGGCGAGAGACCGAUAGCGAACAAGUACCGUGAGGGAGAGAUGAAAGGAACUUUGAAAAGAGAGUUAAACAGUACGUGAAAUUGUCAAAAGGGAAGCGUUUGACACCAGUGUUGUUUUUCUGAAAAUCAAUUAAAGAACUGUUUAUGCUAAGCUGUUUAGACUUUAUCAGCUAUCUGUUUAGUUUUGAGCUUUUCUUUAAUGCACUUUUCAGUUAACAAGUCAACAUCAAUUUCUUUUGCUGUAAAAAAGCUUGAGGAAGGUGGCUUGAGAUUCGUCUUAAGUGUUUAUAGCCUCUUGCCUAUGCAGUCGGAGAGAUUGAGGUCUGCAGCGUAGAUCCUUCGGGGCUAAAUGCAUUUGUGCUAAGUUAUAGCAUUUUAUAGACAACUUGUUGACUAUGAUUUGUCUUGUAGCUUACUCGCUUAUGUUAUUUUACCUACGCUUAGGAUGUUGAUAUCGCGCUCUCACUG